CAGCUAGAUUGUGGACUUCUUGAGGUCAGCAGUCACGCCUUGUUAGCUCGCCAGCUACAUCAGAGCCCAGCACAAUAUUCAAUACCCAGUUGUUAUCUGUGGUCACGAGACCUCACAACUGCACAGAAAAGCACAGCCGAACUUUACUGCAAGCUGCACUCUAUGAGCACUUUGGAAAUUAAAAGAUUGCCAGCUUCCCCACUUUGGGACAAAAAACAUUUGUGCUAAA